rnacentral:rRNA from 1 species
GAUGAACGCUAGCGGCAGGCUUAAUACAUGCAAGUCGAGGGACAGCACAGGUAGCAAUACUGGGUGGUAACCGGCAAACGGGUGCGGAACACGUACACAACCUUCCUUUAAGUGGGGGAUAGCCCAGAGAAAUUUGGAUUAAUACCCCGUAAUAUAGUUGAAUGGCAUCAUUUGAUUAUUAUAGCUACGGCGCUUAAUGAUGGGUGUGCGGCUGAUUAGAUAGUUGGCGGGGUAACGGCCCACCAAGUCUACGAUCAGUAGCUGAUGUGAGGGCAUGAUCAGCCACACGGGCACUGGGACACGGGCCCGACUCCUACGGGAGGCAGCAGUAAGGAAUAUUGGUCAAUGGACGCAAGUCUGAACCAGCCAUGCCGCGUGAAGGAUUAAGGUCCUCUAGAUUGUAAACUUCUUUUAUUUGGGACGAAAAAGGGCCUUUCUAGGUCAACUGACGGUACCAGAUGAAUAAGCACCGGCUAACUCCGUGCCAGCCGCCGCGGUAAAAC